UACGUAGGGGGCGAGCGUUGUCCGGAUUCAUUGGGCGUAAAGAGCUCGUAGGCGGUUCGGCAAGUCGGGUGUGAAAACUCCAGGCUCAACCUGGAGACGCCACCCGAUACUGCUGUGACUCGAGUCCGGUAGGGGACCACGGAAUUCCAGGUGGUAGCGGUGAAAUGCGUAGAUAUCUGGAGGAACACCGGUGGCGAAGGCGGCAUCCUGGACCGGCACUGACGCUGAGGAGCGAAAGCCAGGGGAGCAAAGCGGG
rnacentral:rRNA from 1 species